UGGGGCAUCGUCUAAUGGCAGGACAACAGUCUCUGACACUGUCGAUCUAGGUUCGAGUCCUAGUGCCCCAGCCA
rnacentral:tRNA from 5 species